rnacentral:rRNA from 1 species
UACGGAGGGGGCUAGCGUUGUUCGGAAUUACUGGGCGUAAAGCGCACGUAGGCGGACUGUUAAGUCGGGGGUGAAAUCCUGGGGCUCAACCUCAGAAUUGCCUCCGAUACUGGCAGUCUCGAGUGCGGGAGAGGUGAGUGGAAUUCCCAGUGUAGAGGUGAAAUUCGUAGAUAUUGGGAAGAACACCAGUGGCGAAGGCGGCUCACUGGCCCGUAACUGACGCUGAGGUGCGAAAGCGUGGGGAGCGAACAGG